rnacentral:misc_RNA from 1 species
AACUUUUAGCAAUGGAUCUCUUGGCUCUCGCAUCGAUGAAGAACGCAGCGAAAUGCGAUAAGCAAUGUGAAUUGCAGAAUUCAGUGAAUCAUCGAAUCUUUGAACGCACCUUGCGCCCUUUGGCUAUUCUGAAGGGCAUGCCUGUUUGAGUAUCAUGAACACCUCAACUCCUCAUGGUUUGCCAUGAUGAGCUUGGACUUUGGGGGUCUUGCUGGCCUAUGGUUGGCUCCUCUCAAAUGGAUCAGCUUGCCAGUGUUUGGUGGCACCACAGGUGUGAUAAAUAUCUACGCUUGUGGUGUUCCACUAUGCAACCUUCAGCAAUGAAGGUUCACUGGAGCUCACAAAUGUCUCUCCUCAUCGAGGACAGCUUUUUAAAGUUUGAUCUCAAAUCAGGUAGGAUUACCCGCUGAACUUAAGCAUAUCAAUAAGCGGAGGCU